ensembl:lncRNA
CUGAGUUUCAUGUGGUUUUGUUGUGCACGUUUUGGAACGCUGCUGGGGGAGCACCCCUCAGAGGUCUUUGAGAUUCAAACCAGCAUUGGAAGUGACAGCCCAGAUAACGCAACCGCUCCACCAGCAGUCAAAAAGAAGUGGUAUUGCUGCAAUCUCUGUCCUCGUGUGAUUGAACUGCUGUCACAGCUACAUGCAAGGAACAAGCAUGCCAAGGGCCCGGCACCCAAUUUAAAACAUGAGCUGUCUUCCAGUGGUGAGCUGGGGAGGUCAGUGAGGCUGUGCUGGUCAGAAAACACCUUGCAGUGCUGCAGAAAGGCUACGUGAGUGG